ACGCAAUGUUCCUUUCAUUAGUAACUAAUAUGACUGACUCGUCAAAACCAAAUGUGCAGUCCAUGUGCGAGAAGAACGGCCAGACUCCUCCGCCGAUGCCAGUCAUUGCUCCGGCGGGCACGCGUAACUCCCGACAAGCAUCGACCGAUCCUUCUCCGUCUGCCACUGGCGCGACCGGUCCUACACCUACACCUACACCUACACCUCCGUUAUGACGAUUUGCUUAAGAUCACGGAAGCUUGGGUUGAUGGAGUGCUUGUAUUUAGUUUUUGUUUUGACCUUGUGAAACUUGCUACCUAUGGAUGAA